rnacentral:rRNA from 1 species
ACGAAGGGUGCAAGCGUUACUCGGAAUUACUGGGCGUAAAGCGUGCGUAGGUGGUUUGUUAAGUCUGCUGUGAAAGCCCCGGGCUCAACCUGGGAAUGGCAGUGGAUACUGGAUGGCUUGAGUCUGGGAGAGGGUAGUGGAAUUCCUGGUGUAGCGGUGAAAUGCGUAGAUAUCAGGAGGAACACCGGUGGCGAAGGCGGCUACCUGGCCUAAGACUGACGCUGAGGUGUGAAAGCGUGGGGAGCGAACGGGA